GCCCCCAUAGCUCAGUGGAUAGAGCGUCGGCCUCCGGAGCCGAAGACCCGCGUUCGAGUCGCGGUGGGGGCAUCA
rnacentral:tRNA from 2 species